rnacentral:pre_miRNA from 1 species
AUCAAGUGCUACCUUAUAUAUAGAAAGAAUAACAAAGGUUGGAAAUUGGUCUAGGGUUUCUUAUAUGAAGGGACAGGUAGAGGAUCUAGAGCCAAGAAUGACUUGCCGACGGCAUUGACCAUAAUAUCAUACGGCAGGCCAUUCUUGUCUCAACUCCGCUCUCUAUCUUCUCAUCUGAGACUCUCGGACACUGACAACCAACCUCAGCAAUGCAGCACCAGAUGAUUCUUUCUAUUCUCAGGUGAUCUAUGAUACUAUGUUCAUCUAAUGAGCUCUGCGUCACAUUUUUAUUUUUCCCCCAUUUUUCUGACUUCUCCUCCUUGAGCCAUUUUUCCGGAUCCAUGAACAGUACAAAAUCUCUAUUACAACCAACAGAGUUAAGCAAUGCUGUUCUUAAUGAUAAGCUUAUUUUAGGGUGGCAUAUAUUUUGCAAUAAUCUAGUUAGAAAUAAUUAAAAGUUUUUUCUUGGAGCUUUGGCGUUUCUCCUUGCAUUUGUACAACCUUUUAUGCAAACAGUUGUAGAAUUGGGGAUGACACAAUCUUUGGUUGGAGUGUGAUUUUAUGCUGUAUUUAUUAUGCACACAAUAGCGGGCUCGUCGAUCCACUGUUCAUGCAAGAACUGGAGCGAAGGAAUAGAUAGCUUGAUUAUCGAACAAAUUAAAAUAAUUAAUCGUGCAUCAAUUUUGACAAGGAGUGAGGAACCUCUCCUCAUCUGCAUUAUCAUGAAAUUUUAAUAAUUUUGUACAUAGC